rnacentral:rRNA from 1 species
UACGUAGGGGGCCAGCGUUGUCCGGAAUCAUUGGGCGUAAAGCGCGCGUAGGCGGCCAGACAAGUCCGGUGUGAAAGUCACAGGCUCAACCUGUGAAUGCCGCUGGAAACUGUCUGGCUAGAGUCCGGAAGGGGCGAGUGGAAUUCCUGGUGUAGCGGUGAAAUGCGCAGAUAUCAGGAAGAACACCCGUGGCUAAGGCGGUUCUCUAGUACGGUACUGACGCUGAGACGCGAAAGCGUGGGGAGCGAACAGG